rnacentral:rRNA from 2 species
UCGAUCUCAAAUCAAGUAAGACUACC